CUAGUGACGAGGAAGAAGGUGAAGGCGGAGAGAAGAUGAAGAAGAAGAAAAAGGAGAAGGGAAAGAAAGAACAGGACAGUGCAGUCCCAGUGGAGAAGUGCGAUGAGGCAGCAACAGUUCACCACUCAGAGACGCCGAAAAAGAAGGGUUUCAUGGAUAAGAUCAAAGACAAACUCCCAGGACAGCAUAAGAAAGAUGAAGAGGACACCACCCAACCACCAGCUGCUGCUGCCCCAACUGAGAACGACCACCAUGAAGGAGAGACAAAAGAGAAGAAGGGAUUUUUGGUGAAAAUCAAGGAGAAAAUUCCUGGUUACCACUCCAAAACAGAGGACGAGAAGGAAAAAGAGACCACUGCUCCCCAUUAAUGAAUCAAUAUAAUGCAUUUCAAGUAAAAGAUGUGUAGAGAUUGUGUGGUUUAUCAAUUUGUUGGAACUGUC
rnacentral:lncRNA from 1 species